GGGGCUAUAGCUCAGUUUGGGAGAGCGCCUGGAUCGCACCCAGGAGGUCGCCGGUUCGAGCCCGGCUAGCUCCA
rnacentral:tRNA from 2 species